UUUUACAUUUGUGAUCUUGACCUUCACCCAUAUCUGAAGAUGAGAAGAAUCUAGCAAAUUCUACCAUGAAAAGGAAAGGUUGAAGUCUAUGGAGUGACCAUAUUGUUUAAACUCCCCCCAGAAAAGAUUACAGGAAGCUGCGUGUUUCUUGGUACUUGAAGACACAUUGGUUGUGCUACCAUUAUGACCCUCUUACUAAUGUUACUAAUCUAUAUAUCAUCAAUAGAAGAUUUGAUAGAUUUGCUGCAGUAUGAAUUCCGGACUCAAACUGGAGAAUCAGGACAUUUAUGAGAGUAUCAGUCAUUUGGAAAACUAACAGCAAGGCAAAAGGAGAGAGCUUCAAAGGCUUUAUAGCUGGGGACGGGAAGCGGAAGAAGCAGGCCAACAGUGCCUAGCCAAUGAUCAAACACAUAUACGGAUCGCCAGAGGCCGUCAUGCGCACUGGGCCAAAAGAAGCUAAUCCCGGAAGGGCACAUGCCCUUAUUUGGUGCCCGGAGGUCGUCAUGCGCACUGGGCCAAAAGAAGCACAGCCAAUCACAGAAAGGGGGAGUAUCCUGAUGCCACGAGGAUCUCAGAAUGGGUCCCCAGUAACAGCAAGUUUCCUUAAGUGGCUGCUGUCAUGACUUCCUUGUCUGGACUUUAUUCUUGAACUACAUUUGUGACUUCAGGGUCAUAAAAUACGAUAUAACUUCUCCCUGGUGCUCUCUCUUGAGAAACUUGCUUUUGGAACCCAGCCACCAUUCCAUGAGGAAGCCAAACAGCCAUUUGGAAGGGGUAAGUACAGGCAUA